GGGUUGUGAGGUUAAGCGACUAAGCGUACACGGUGGAUGCCCUGGCAGUCAGAGGCGAUGAAGGACGUGCUAAUCUGCGAUAAGCGUCGGUAAGGUGAUAUGAACCGUUAUAACCGGCGAUUUCCGAAUGGGGAAACCCAGUGUGUUUCGACACACUAUCAUUAACUGAAUCCAUAGGUUAAUGAGGCGAACCGGGGGAACUGAAACAUCUAAGUACCCCGAGGAAAAGAAAUCAACCGAGAUUCCCCCAGUAGCGGCGAGCGAACGGGGAGCAGCCCAGAGCCUGAAUCAGUGUGUGUGUUAGUGGAAGCGUCUGGAAAGGCGCGCGAUACAGGGUGACAGCCCCGUACACAAAAAUGCACAUGCUGUGAGCUCGAUGAGUAGGGCGGGACACGUGGUAUCCUGUCUGAAUAUGGGGGGACCAUCCUCCAAGGCUAAAUACUCCUGACUGACCGAUAGUGAACCAGUACCGUGAGGGAAAGGCGAAAAGAACCCCGGCGAGGGGAGUGAAAAAGAACCUGAAACCGUGUACGUACAAGCAGUGGGAGCACGCUUAGGCGUGUGACUGCGUACCUUUUGUAUAAUGGGUCAGCGACUUAUAUUCUGUAGCAAGGUUAACCGAAUAGGGGAGCCGAAGGGAAACCGAGUCUUAACUGGGCGUUAAGUUGCAGGGUAUAGACCCGAAACCCGGUGAUCUAGCCAUGGGCAGGUUGAAGGUUGGGUAACACUAACUGGAGGACCGAACCGACUAAUGUUGAAAAAUUAGCGGAUGACUUGUGGCUGGGGGUGAAAGGCCAAUCAAACCGGGAGAUAGCUGGUUCUCCCCGAAAGCUAUUUAGGUAGCGCCUCGUGAAUUCAUCUCCGGGGGUAGAGCACUGUUUCGGCAAGGGGGUCAUCCCGACUUACCAACCCGAUGCAAACUGCGAAUACCGGAGAAUGUUAUCACGGGAGACACACGGCGGGUGCUAACGUCCGUCGUGAAGAGGGAAACAACCCAGACCGCCAGCUAAGGUCCCAAAGUCAUGGUUAAGUGGGAAACGAUGUGGGAAGGCCCAGACAGCCAGGAUGUUGGCUUAGAAGCAGCCAUCAUUUAAAGAAAGCGUAAUAGCUCACUGGUCGAGUCGGCCUGCGCGGAAGAUGUAACGGGGCUAAACCAUGCACCGAAGCUGCGGCAGCGACACUAUGUGUUGUUGGGUAGGGGAGCGUUCUGUAAGCCUGUGAAGGUGUGCUGUGAGGCAUGCUGGAGGUAUCAGAAGUGCGAAUGCUGACAUAAGUAACGAUAAAGCGGGUGAAAAGCCCGCUCGCCGGAAGACCAAGGGUUCCUGUCCAACGUUAAUCGGGGCAGGGUGAGUCGACCCCUAAGGCGAGGCCGAAAGGCGUAGUCGAUGGGAAACAGGUUAAUAUUCCUGUACUUGGUGUUACUGCGAAGGGGGGACGGAGAAGGCUAUGUUGGCCGGGCGACGGUUGUCCCGGUUUAAGCGUGUAGGCUGGUUUUCCAGGCAAAUCCGGAAAAUCAAGGCUGAGGCGUGAUGACGAGGCACUACGGUGCUGAAGCAACAAAUGCCCUGCUUCCAGGAAAAGCCUCUAAGCAUCAGGUAACAUCAAAUCGUACCCCAAACCGACACAGGUGGUCAGGUAGAGAAUACCAAGGCGCUUGAGAGAACUCGGGUGAAGGAACUAGGCAAAAUGGUGCCGUAACUUCGGGAGAAGGCACGCUGAUAUGUAGGUGAAGUCCCUUGCGGAUGGAGCUGAAAUCAGUCGAAGAUACCAGCUGGCUGCAACUGUUUAUUAAAAACACAGCACUGUGCAAACACGAAAGUGGACGUAUACGGUGUGACGCCUGCCCGGUGCCGGAAGGUUAAUUGAUGGGGUCAGCCGCAAGGCGAAGCUCUUGAUCGAAGCCCCGGUAAACGGCGGCCGUAACUAUAACGGUCCUAAGGUAGCGAAAUUCCUUGUCGGGUAAGUUCCGACCUGCACGAAUGGCGUAAUGAUGGCCAGGCUGUCUCCACCCGAGACUCAGUGAAAUUGAACUCGCUGUGAAGAUGCAGUGUACCCGCGGCAAGACGGAAAGACCCCGUGAACCUUUACUAUAGCUUGACACUGAACAUUGAGCCUUGAUGUGUAGGAUAGGUGGGAGGCUUUGAAGUGUGGACGCCAGUCUGCAUGGAGCCGACCUUGAAAUACCACCCUUUAAUGUUUGAUGUUCUAACGUGGACCCGUGAUCCGGGUUGCGGACAGUGUCUGGUGGGUAGUUUGACUGGGGCGGUCUCCUCCUAAAGAGUAACGGAGGAGCACGAAGGUUGGCUAAUCCUGGUCGGACAUCAGGAGGUUAGUGCAAUGGCAUAAGCCAGCUUGACUGCGAGCGUGACGGCGCGAGCAGGUGCGAAAGCAGGUCAUAGUGAUCCGGUGGUUCUGAAUGGAAGGGCCAUCGCUCAACGGAUAAAAGGUACUCCGGGGAUAACAGGCUGAUACCGCCCAAGAGUUCAUAUCGACGGCGGUGUUUGGCACCUCGAUGUCGGCUCAUCACAUCCUGGGGCUGAAGUAGGUCCCAAGGGUAUGGCUGUUCGCCAUUUAAAGUGGUACGCGAGCUGGGUUUAGAACGUCGUGAGACAGUUCGGUCCCUAUCUGCCGUGGGCGCUGGAGAACUGAGGGGGGCUGCUCCUAGUACGAGAGGACCGGAGUGGACGCAUCACUGGUGUUCGGGUUGUCAUGCCAAUGGCACUGCCCGGUAGCUAAAUGCGGAAGAGAUAAGUGCUGAAAGCAUCUAAGCACGAAACUUGCCCCGAGAUGAGUUCUCCCUGAC
rnacentral:rRNA from 1 species